rnacentral:rRNA from 1 species
CAGUCGCCACGGGAAUACGUAGGUGGCAAGCGUUGUCCGGAAUUAUUGGGCGUAAAGGGCUCGCAGGCGGUUUCUUAAGUCUGAUGUGAAAGCCCCCGGCUCAGCCGGGGAGGGUCAUUGGAAACUGGGAAACUUGAGUGCAGAAGAGGAGAGUGGAAUUCCACGUGUAGCGGUGAAAUGCGUAGAGAUGUGGAGGAACACCAGUGGCGAAGGCGACUCUCUGGUCUGUAACUGACGCUGAGGCACGAAAGCGUGGGGAGCAAACAGGAUUAGAUACCCGCGUAGUCCCUGUCUCUUAUAA